rnacentral:lncRNA from 1 species
CUACGGGAGCCGGACCUCUCCUCUGACUUUAAUUGCAGGGAGACUUCGCCCGGACUCUUAUGGGAGCCGGGCUUCAUCCUCGACGCCAACAACUGCAGCCGCAAGCAGACUCCGCCCGGACUCCUACGGGAGCCGGGCUCUGCCGCCGACAUCGACUAUAGGAUAGCUCCGUCUGGACUCCUACGGAGUCGGGCUCCGUCCUCAGCGUCAACUGCUGGUAAGCCCCGUCCGGACUCCUACGGGAGCCGGACUUCGCCUCUAACCUUGACUGCAGGGCAGCUCCAUCUGGACUCCUACGGAGCCGGGCUCCGUCCUCAGCAUCAACUGCUGGUAAGCCCUGUCCGGACUCCUACGGGAGCCGGACUUCGCCUCUAACCUUGACUGCAGGA